rnacentral:rRNA from 1 species
GUGGGGAAUAUUGCACAAUGGGGGAAACCCUGAUGCAGCGACGCCGCGUGAGUGAAGAAGUAUUUCGGUACGUAAAGCUCUAUCAGCAAGGAAGAAAAUGACGGUACUUGACUAAGAAGCCCCGGCUAACUACGUGCCAGCAGCCGCGGUAAUACGUAGGGGGCAAGCGUUAUCCGGAUUUACUGGGUGUAAAGGGAGCGUAGACGGUAUGGUAAGUCAGAUGUGAAAGCCCGGGGCUCAACCCCGGGACUGCAUUUGAAACUAUCAGACUGGAGUGCAGGAGAGGUAAGUGGAAUUCCUAGUGUAGCGGUGAAAUGCGUAGAUAUUAGGAGGAACACCAGUGGCGAAGGCGGCUUACUGGACUGUAACUGACGCUGAGGCGCGAAAGUGUGGGGAGCAAACAGGAUUAGAAACCCGGGUAGUCC